rnacentral:rRNA from 1 species
GACGAACGCUGGCGGCGUGCCUAAUACAUGCAAGUAGAACGCAGUUGCGAACGGGUGAGUAACGCGUAGGUAACUGCCUCAUAGCGGGGGAUAACUAUUGGAAACGAUAGCUAAUACCGCAUACUGUGAGAUGGACCUGCGUUGUAUUAGCUAGUUGGUGUGGUAAAGGCUCACCAAGGCGACGAUACAUAGCCGACCUGGGAGGGGGUUCGGCACUACUGGGACUGGAAACCGGCCCAGACCCCUACGGGAGGAAGCAGUAGGGAAUCUUGGGCAAUGGACGAAGGUCUGACCGAGAAACGCCGCGUGAGUGAAGAAGGUUUUCGGAUCGUAAAACUCUGUUUUUGGGGAAGCGGUAUCUAACCAGAAAGCCACGGCUAACUACGUGCCAGCAGCCGCGGUAAUAC